GUCCAGGGGCGGGAAUCGAACCCACACCCUUCUGCUUACCGGGCAGGUGUCAUGUCCACUAGGCUACCCUGGA
rnacentral:tRNA from 1 species